UGGCUGUGGUGAAUUUGGCCGAGAUGAUUAUUUUUGACACUCAUGACUAAACUUAAAAAUAUUGAAAGUUAUUUGAUAUCACAGCCAUCAAUUCAUUCCGAAAGAUUUCAAACUUCUAAAGGUGUACCUAUUAAUCCAGUGGAUAUUAGUAGAUGAUUUUUUUCAUACUCUCUGCAUUCCCAUGCCAUGUUACGUCAUGCAGUCAAAUACAUUUACAUGUGCAUGUGUGCACAUUUGUAAACACUGGAGAUCCAUGAAAAUCCCUUAUAUUACAAGCAGUUAUUCGAUUUAUAAAGUCAACGAAAUAAGACAGUCAUUUAAAAGUAUAAAUGAGUUAUUUGAUAAUGAAAUUGACAGAAAAGGAGAUUAAGGAACUGAAAGUCGAUAAAAACUUUCUUUCCUUUCGUCAAAAUCUUGAGGUUUAGCAUACAAUUCGCUGAAUAAAAAAAGCAUAACCGAUCUCAAAAUACAUGAUAAAAGAUCAUACAUGUUUAUUCUCUUAACACGUUCCCCCUAAAGCUGUUCAUAAAAUUGCUGUUUGCAAAAAUGAAUAGAACUCAGUCAUACUAAUACUCAUCCCAUCCCUCUCCGCAAAAUAAUGAUAAAAAUAAUAAUCAUAUUGGAUUAAAAAGAUAAAAUAUUUAUAUUUGGUUUGUUUUCAACAGUUCUUUUUAGAAGAUUUUGUGUACAUGCUAACCAAGUAUUGAUCGUAAAACUCGGUUUUCCUGACAAGUUUCUAUUUCCCCUAUUCAUUAUUUGACAGGAAUCAGGUUUGCUAUUCAUUAUGUUGAGUAUCAUAUGUGAUGAGAAUAAUAAAUAGAAUUGAAUGUACAAGCUAAUUAAGAAUCACAAAUCCGAUCAGGUGGUUUGGGAAUGAAAUUAAAGCUAAUAUUUCUUAGCCAAGCCCUUUUAAUUAGCUGGAAGUCUAUAAAUGUGAAUUAUUGAUGAUUUUUUUAUACGAAUACGUGUAAUCUGUAACAGUGAAAGAUGAAUAAAUCAAUGUCCACUUA